GUUUUGUUGAUUUUUUUCUUGUUUGUUCUACUUCUUAAAAGACUUUCCACAAUUUUUACAAUGGGUUAAGUAAAAAUUUCAAGGUAUUGAAGAGUCAAGGAAUAUUGACCCCCCUUUUUUACACCUGGUGUAAGUAAUGGGACUAUUAAAUGAUCAAAAGUGCAGUCAUGGUCAUUUAAAUGUUUUUAUUUUCUAUCAGUUAAUACAACUUAAGGCAUAAAACUUUCAUUUGAGAUAAUAAAUGGGAUUUUUGUAAUUUUUGCAAUGUUUACAUCAGGCUAUGUUAUCUGCCAAAUACAUGCUAUGACGCAAUGAUAUAAGGGA
rnacentral:lncRNA from 1 species